AUUGAACGCUAGCGGCAGGCCUUACACAUGCAAGUCGAACGGAGUGGCAGACGGGUGAGGAAGAUUAAGGAAUGUGCCACGUACCGGGGGAUAGGUACGCGAAAGCGUAACUAAUACCGCAUACUAUUGCAGCGGCAGAUACCGGAUUAGCUAGUUGGGGGGGUAACGGCUCACCAAGGCGAAGACCCGUAGCUGGUUUGAGAGGACGACCAGCCACUCUGGAACUGAGACACGGCCCAGACUCCUACGGGAGGCAGCAGUGGGGAAUUUUGGACAAUGGGGGAAACCCUGAUGCAGCCAUCCCGCGUGUGUGAUGAAGGCCUUCGGGUUGUAAAGCACUUUUAGCGGGAAGGCGGUACCCGCAGAAUAAGCACCGGCUAACUACGUGCCAGCAGCCGCGGUAAUUC
rnacentral:rRNA from 1 species